UUUUUUUUUUUUUUUUUUUGGCAAUGGGCUGUAAAUAGGUUAUAGGAUGGCCCCCCCAACAGAGGUCCCUAUUCUAAUCCCCAGAAGGUUAUUUAUAUGGCAAAAGGGGCUGUGAAGGUGUGAUGGAAGUUAAGAAUCUCGCUAUGGGGAAAUUAUCCUGGAACACCUGGUUAAACCCAAUGUAAUUACAAAGGCUGUUUGUUACGAGAGCAGGUGAAAGUUCAGAGAGGGCAAACUGAAGUGAUGCAACUUGUGAGCCAACGUAUGCCGGCGACUUCUAGAAGCUGGAGGAAGUCAGGAAUGGAUUCUCCCUGGGAACCUCCAGAAGAACAGCUCUGCCUGCACCUGGUCUAAAUCUAAUUGGUUUUACUCCAUCUCUCCGCUUGGAUGUCUAAUGAAAAUUUCAGGUUCAACACGUAAAAAAACAAAAUCACUGAUUUCUGCCUUCAAAAUGCUUUCUUCUACAACUCAGUUCUCCCAAAGUUGCUCACAAGGCCUCCUUUAUCGGGGAUCCCUGGGUGGCUCAGCGGUCGAGCGUCUGCCUUCAGCCCAAGGCCUGAUCCUGGAGUCCUGGAAUCGAGUCCCACGUCGGGUUCCUUGCAGGGAGCCUGCUUCUACCUCUACCUCUCUGUCUGUAACUCUCAUAAAUAAAUAAAAAAAUAAGGUCUCCUUUAAAAUACGUCCAGAUUUCAAUGCCAUUUUCAUCACCUCAAUCACGACCGCUCUGGCCUAAACCACUAUCCCUGUGGACCCGAUUACCGCAGUAACUUCCUAACUGAGAACACCUUUCACCAACCGACACAGAUUUGUUUUCCACCACCUCCCACUGUAAUGGUCUCCGGGACACAGAAGACGACUCUCUCUCUCAUUUUGUGCCAGGAAUCCCCCUCCCCCACCCCCAUGUGCAACCUCGCAGAUGCUCCAUUUUCUAGAAUAAAUAUUUUAUACCGCCACGUAUACAGCAAUGCAUUUAAGAUGUCUGAAAAUUAGCGGUAGGGGCCUUUCACCAACUAACUAACUAAAGAACUAAAUAAAUAACUAAAUAACAAAGUAACCGAAUAACUAACUGAAUAACUAAAUAACUAAAUGACUAACUGAAUAACUAAGUAAAUAAAUAAUAAUUAAAUAACUGAGUAAAUGACUAAAUAACUGAAUAACUAAAUAACUAACUGAAUAACUGAACUAAAUAAAUAACUGAAUAACUAAAUAACUAGCUAGCUAACUAAAUAAUAACAAACAAAAUAAAUAACUAAAUAACUAAAUAACUAAACUAAAUAAUAACGAACUAAAUAACUAGCUAACGAAUGAACUAAAUAACUAAAUAACUAGCUAACUAAAUAACUAAACGAAAUAACUAGCUCGCUAAAUACCUAAAUAACUAGCUAAAUAACUAAAUAAGUAGCUAACUAAAUACAUAACUCAAUAAGGAAUUAACUAGCUAACUAGCUAACUAAAUAACGAACUAGCUAGCUAACUAGCUAACUAGCCGACUAACUAGCUAACUAGCCGACUAACUAGCUAACUAACUAGCUAACUAACUAGCUGACUAACUAGCUAACUAGCUGCUAGCUAGCUAACCAGCUGCUAACUAGCUAACCAGCUGCUAACGAUCAAACCCAACCAAAGACGACUCCUGCUCCUCCGUGGCCCCGCCCUGGCCGGCGGCCUCGCGGCCCGACACCUCGUCCCCGUCCCCGUCCCCGUCCCCGUCCAGGUGACGCGGCGACAGGUGAGCGCCCACGCGGCUCGGGGCCGGAGGACCGACGCCGCCCUGGAACCUUCCCGGACACUGGGCCGAGGGCC
rnacentral:lncRNA from 1 species